GACAGAGGAUGCAAGCGGAAUGAUUGGCGUAAGCAGUCUGUGAGGUGCUUUUCAAGUCCGCCGUCAAAUCCCAGGGCUCAACCCUGGACAGGCGGUGGAAACUGCCAAGCUGGAGUACGGUAGGGGCAGAGGGAAUUUCCGAUGGAGCGGUGAAAUGCAUUGAGAUCGGAAAGAACACCAACGGCGAAAGCACUCUGCUGGGCCGACACUGACACUGAGAGACGAAAGCUAGGGGAGCAAAUGGG
rnacentral:rRNA from 1 species